UCAUAAAGUAAAAUAUGUCAAUGGUCCUGU
rnacentral:piRNA from 1 species